rnacentral:rRNA from 1 species
GAAGGUGGCGAGCGUUGUUCGGAAUCACUGGGCUUAAAGCGCAUGUAGGCGGCUAUGCAAGCGUCGGGUGAAAUCCCUCGGCUCAACCGAGGAACGGCUUGGCGAACUGCAUAGCUUGAGGCAGGUAGGGGUGUGUGGAACUCUUGGUGGAGCGGUGAAAUGCGUAGAUAUCAAGAGGAACGCCGGAGGCGAAAGCGGCACACUGGGCCUGUCCUGACGCUGAGAUGCGAAGGGCUAGGGUAGCGAACGGGAUUAGAUACCCCGGUAGUCCUAGCAGUAAACGAUGCCCUACUAGGUCGGAGUUUCUCUGACGGAAUUUCGGCCGAAACUAAAGCGUUAAGUAGGCCGCCUGGGGAGUACGGUCGCAAGGCUAA